AGUUUUCUUUUUCAAAAGACUCAAAUUGUCCUUCCUUACUUUCUUUAAUUAAUUUUUCUCUAAGUUAGUCAAUUUUAAUUAAAUCAUCAUACAUCCGCAUAUUAGCGGAUACUUUGAGUGCUAACAACUUCUCAAAGUGAAAAUUUGAACCUCUUACCCAUUUUUCUAUAAAUUUUUAAAGGUUUAUCUGUUAACCUUUUUAAAAUUAAAUUUUCUUAGUUUCUUAAAAAAAUUGUCGACCCUUUCUAAGUAUAUUUUUUCUUAAUUAUUUUAUAUUUAGAACGUUUCAAAAGUGGUUUUCAAAAGAUAAAUCAUGCACAUAACAUCGAUGGAUUUGUUGUUUAUUGUGAUGCUUCAAGGGUUGGUCUUGGUUGUGUUUUGAUGCAAAAUGGUAAGGUGAUAGCCUAUGCUUCUAGGCAACUUAAGGUGAAUGAAAAGAACUAUCCGACUCAUGGCUUGGAGUUAGCGACAGUUGUGUUUGCUUUGAAGCUUUGGAGACAUUAUCUCUAUGGUGUCCAUGUUGUUGUAUUCACCGACCAUAAGAGUUUGCAAUAUGUGUUCAACAAAUGAAUUUGAAUCUUCGACAAAAAAAGAUCGCUUGAGUUGUUGAAGAAUUAUGAUAUGAGUGUGUUGUACCAUCUGGGUAAAGUGAAUGUGGUACCGAUGCUCUUAGUAGAUUUUCCAUGAAUAGUAUUGCCCGUGUUGAGGAUGAAAAGAAGGAAUUAGUUCGUGAAGUUCAUAGACUAGAUCAUUUGGGUGUUUGCUUGGUUGGUUCAGAGAAUGGUGUUGUUGUUGUACAAAAUCAUUAUGAAUUGUCUCUUGUGGUGGAUGAUAAGGCAAAGUAAGACAAUGAUCCUACUUUGGUUGAGUUGAAGGAAGUGGUUUCCAAAAUAGCUAAUGAGGCUUUCUCCCACAGGGGAAAUGGUGUGCUUAGACAUCAAGGUCGAUUGUGUGUUUUCGAUGUUGAUGGCUUGAGGUAAAUGAUAUUAUCUGAAGCUCAUAGCUUGCAAUAUUCUAUCCAUCCGCGUUCCACAAAGAUGUGUUGAGACUUGAGGGAGGUGUAUUGGUGGAAUGACAUGAAGAAGGAUAUUGCGGAGUUUGUGGCUAAAUGUCCUAAUUGUCAACAAGUGAAAGUUGAGCAUAAAAAAUUAGGAGGUUUAGCUCAAGACAUUGAGAUUACUACAUAGAUGUGAGAGGAAUUGAACAUGGAUUUUAUUACGGGUUUGCCUCGUACCUGUAGGCAACAUGAUUCGAUUUGGAUUAUUGUUGACCGAAUGACUAAGUUGGCGCAUUUCCUUCCCAUUAAGACUUCCUAUUCAGGUGAGGAUUAUGUUAAACUUUACAUUCGUGAGUUGGUCAAGCUUCAUGGUGUUCCAUUAUCUAUUAUUUUGGACCGACGUACUCAAUUCACAUCUUAGUUUUGGAGGUCUUUCCAAUAGGGUCUUGGUAUUCAAGUUAAGUUUAGCACAAGUUUUCACCCACAGACCGAUGGUCAAGCCGAGUGUACUAUUCAAACAUUGGAAGACAUGUUGAGAGUUUGUGUAAAUGACUUUAAGGGUAAUUGGGAUGAUCACUUGCCUUUGAUCGAGUUUGCCUAUAACAAUAGCUACCAUUCUAGUAGUCAAAUAGAUCUAUUCGAGGUCUUAUAUGGUAAGAGAUGUAGGUCUCCUAUUGGUUGGUUUGAAGUUGGGGAAGUUUCAUUGAUAGUACCUGAGUUGGUGCAUGAGGCUAUGUAGAAGGCUAGACUCAGUAGAGAAAGAUUGCAGAUUGCCCAAAGUCGACAAAAGUCCUAUUUAGAUGUAGGAGAAGGAAACUUGAAUUUUAGUUAAAUGAUUGGGUUUCCUUGAAAAUCUCACCCAUAAGGGUGUGAUGCAUUGUAGCUAGAAGGGGAAGCUUAGUCUCCGAUAUGUAGGCCCAUAUCAGAUUUUGAGGUAUUUUGGUAAGGUGGCAUAUGAGUUGGAUUUUCCUUUGGAUUUGGCAUCGGUGCAUCCGGUGUUUCAUUUUUCAUUGUUGAAAAAGUAUGUGGGUGAUCCUAUUUCAAUUGUGCCCUUAGAGAGAAUUGGUGUGAAUGAGAGUUUAUCCUAUGAGGAAGUUUUGAUUGAGAUUCUAGACCGACAAGUUCGAAAGUUGAGAAACAAAGAAGUUGUAUCCGUUAAAAUGUUAUGGAGGAACCAAGAGGCUGAGGGUGCUACAUGGGAGGCCAAGGCCGAUAUGAUGUCAUGAUAUCCUCAUCUCCUUCCCUUCGUUCCAAGAUGAGGUAUUAAGUUCUGUCAUGAUUCACUCUCACGAAUUUCUAAGUUUCAGCUUUUCCAUUUCUUUCAUAUGCAUGCAUAUUCAUGAAAUUACUUUAAAAGUCAUAUUUUAGCUUGGGAUGGAAUAUUCCAUGUUUUAUGCAUUGUACUAUGUCAUUGCAUUCAUGUUGGUUGCUAUGUCUCUUUUCCUACUUUUUUCAUGCUAGUUAAGUUCCAUUCAAAGACGAAUGAUCUCAAAGGGAAGAUAUUGUGAGGCCUCGAAAGUGAAAAGGAAAAAACUGAGAAAAUAAGGUUCAUGCUCGCUAAAGUGGACUCAACGACUCGCAGUGGGUUGGGAGACUCACAUAAUGGCUCAAAAGCUCACCCAAUUUUUCUGAAAAUUUGGCUCAGAAGAAGAGAAGUUGGUGAGGAAGGUUGAGGUUCGGCGAAUCACUGAACAGGUCUGGCGGGUAGCAGAAUCUCGCCUAAGUAUCCUAAAGAGUUGACUCAGGAACGAGGACUUCUCGGCGAGGAGAGAAGAGACUUGGCGAAUCGCCAAUCGAGAUCAGUGAGAUGGGGAGCCUCGCCAAAAAGCUCAAGAAAGUUGGGAGGAGGGAGAGAAAGUGGGCAUGGGAAAACAAGAUCGACGAAUUGCCGAUCGUGUCGGUGAGCAAGGUUGGUCUCGCCAAGUUUUUCAGAGAUUUUUCCUGAAAACGCUAGGAGGUUUGGCAAGAUAGAUCAGGAGAUCGAUGACUUGCCGAUCAGGAAGGCGAGCUCCACCGAUAUUGCCAACCUGUCUCUAUUAGUCCUUUAAUGAGGUUAUUUCUGUCUUUUCUUACUCAAUUAAUCCAUAAGCUAUGUCAUUUUGGACCUAUUUCUGAACCUAUAACUACCCAAAUCCUUUGAAUUCCCCUCAUUCCUUCUCCAAUCACUCUAUGCAAUAAUUUUCUCUAUAAAAAUACUUUCACAAGGAUCAAUCUUCAAGUCAAUCAAGGGCUCCAAGAUUCAAGUCUCCUAUUCAAGGUUUCAAGGUUUGAUUAAUCAAGGUAUGUUAGGAAUUCAUCUAUGGAUCAUUUCCACCAAUGGAGUCCCAAUGUUUUUCUCCUUUUUCCAUCAAUUUUAGUUCAAUGAUUCUAGGCUUUUGAUCAAUUUACAUUGGGUCGAUUUGAUUAUAAUUUAUUUCAAUGUCAAUGACUUAAUUAUGCUUGAUUCAAAUUUAAUUGCAUGUUUUUAAUUGAGUUUUCAUGUGACAAGAAGGUGCCACCACAACUUAAGGGCAAGUUCUACAAAGUGGUGGUUAGACCGUCUAUGUUGUAUGGAGCGGAGCGUUGGUCAGUUAAGAUCUCUCACGUUCAAAAGAUGAAAGUUGCCGAGAUGAGAAUGUUGAGAUGGAUGUGUGGGCACGCCAGGAGCGACAUUAUUAGAAAUGAGGCUAUUCGGGACAAGGUGGGAGUGGCCUCGGUGGAAGACAAGAUGCGGGAAAUGUGACUGAGAUGGUUUGGGCAUGUGAAGAGGAGAGACACAGAUGCCCAAGUGUGGAGGUGUGAGAGGCUGGCCAUGGAUGGUUUCAGAAGAGGUAGGGGUAGGCCGAAGAAAUAUUGGGGAGAGGUGAUUAGACAGGACAUGACGUAGUUACAACUUACUGAGGACAUGACCUUAGAUAGGAGGGUGUGGAGGACCCAUAUUAGGGUAGAACGCUAGUAAAUAGUCUCGUUAUUCUUCCUUAUUAGUAAGCGCAUUACAAUUUCUUGUGCUCUAAUUUCUCUUGUUAUCUAUUACUGUCUGUACUUUGAUUACUCUAUUUUAUCUGUGUUGCUUUCGUUAUUUGCUUUCCCAUAUCGCUUUGAAUUUCUUAGCCUUAUCUAACCUCUUUUUAUGCUUUUAUUGAGCCAAGGGUCUUUUGGAAACAGCUGUCCUACCUUGGUAGGAGUAAGGUCUGCAUACACUUUACCCUCCCCAGACCUCACGUUGUGGGAUUUCACAGAAUUGUUGUUGUUGUUGUUUUCAAGGGCCCAUGCAUUAUCCAUUUUCAAGUAUGAAUUUAUGGAAUUUUGAUCAUAGAAUUGAUGAACGACUUAUGAAUAAUUUAUUAAUGAUUCGUGAAAGUAAUGAAUGAUGUUUCAAAAGAUGUGUUCAAAUAAAUGGGCGUGAAAGGAUUUCUCACACAUUCAUGUAAAGGUGAAAGGUUUUCUCACCUACUCACGGAUUCAUAAAGAUGAAAGGUUUUCUCGUACUUGUGUGAAUCAUGAUGUUAAUGAACUACUCUUGUUAUUAUUUUAUGAUGUUGAUUGGUACUUAUUAUUGUCUUUCCUACUGUUAUUAAUUAAUGUCUAUGAUUUAUGAAUUUCGUUAGGAUAUCGAUAAGCACUGAGAGGACUUUGAGGUGGGGCUCGGUCAGGAACUCAAGUAGCAACCUAAGGAAGCUCUAGUAGUAACCUCUAGUCCCAAACUGCGUGCCCCUGUAGGUUUGCCUUAAUUAGCCUAGCUAGUGGAUCCACAAAUGGCUCAAUGUUAAAUAAUGUUACUCACGAAGUCUACCUUGGCAAGUAGCUUUUCUUUUUUCGGUGUGGGAGUAACACUGAAUUCCAUGUUAUAGCUCGCGUGAUCUUGAAUGUCAGUUAUAGAUUAUAUCCCACAAAUGAACUAUGUUUUCUUAUGAGCCCUUAUGAUGAUUUCAAAUGAUGUAUUGACCACAUGUUUCGACUUAUGAUUUUAAAUUUCAUACUUUUAAAUGAUUCUUGGCCUUGCAUCACAUGUUUUAUGUUCAUCAUGCUAGCAUGUCUACAUCAUGCAUAUUUCUCACAUACUUAGUAUAUUUCAUGUAAUAACGCAUAAUUUUGCCUAUAUUGUAUCAUAAUGUAGGGCUUGACGAUCAUCAUACUCACCUCGCUCGUGGCUAGCUAUUGAGGUGCAGCUUAUCAAAGUUUUGUUUGGGUGCAAGCUUAUUGGGCACAUAAAUUCCUUAUUCCCAAGGUCAUGAAGACAAUUGAACAAAUUCGUAGAACAUUCUUUUGGACAUGAGCAAUGACAGCUUCUAGGAAAGUACCAGUCUCAUGGGAAACCAUAUGCCUACUAGUUGUUGUAGGUAGACUUAAUGUCAUGAAUCUCUCUGCAAAUGGAAUACAGGUGCAAUUCUGAAGCUGUUAUGGUAUAUAGCAAGGAAAAAGGAAUGCUUAUGGAUCCAAUGAAUUAAUAGUUAUUAUUUGAAACAAGGGGAUAUAGAGGCCAUCCAAAUACCCAAGAAUGCCUCUUGGGUGGUGAGGAAAAUUUUGGCAUCAAGAAAUCAGUUCCAGCAUAGACAACAAUGACCAGGAUCAGUACAAGCACAGUUGGAGCAAGCUCAACAUUGAGGUAAAUUUUCAAUCCACAAUAUAUGUACCUUUCACUCCUGGCAUCUCACCCCAGAGCUGAAUGGAGACACAUGACCUUACAUUCAAAGAUACAUCCAAGACAGAUUUAUAUUAUGGUUGGUUGUGCAUAGAAGAUUAGUUGUUGUUGAGAGACUGCAAAAGUUUGGCAUUGAUAUACCUUCAGAUUGUGUAUUCUGUGGAUAAAGUAUGGAAUCAUUCACACACAUUUUCUUCGAAUGUCGUAUUACAAGAAAUCCGUAGAGUCGACUAUGUGCUUUGCUAGGACAUCAAAGACAGAUUCAGGACUGGAAUAUUGAGGUUGCAUGGGCUUGCAGGUUAGCAAAGAGCAAACGUGAAAUAGCUGAAAUUACUAAUUGUGCAUUUGCUAUGGUGGUCAACAUGAUACAGUAAGCGAGAAAUUUGAUUGGAUUCCAACAAAGACUCUUUCAAUCGAACCAGAUGAUCAAGGAAAUGGUGUUACACAUACUAUCCGAGGGAGGAAUUCAGGAAAGUGGCAAAGCUACAUUGCAGGACAUCCUAAAUUUUAUCUUAAAUGACUACUGGUAGCAUUGUAUUUGAAGUGUUUGUAUACAUUCCUAGGUUUCAUAUAUGUAUUGUCAUUACUGAGAA